ACAAUUUUAUUUGAAAUAAUCAUAAUUAAUUUUCAGUUUAAUAUCUGAUAUAUGGGCCAAUUGUUCACACGAUAUUAAAUUUAUUUUUUGAGGUGGAGAGUCCACCACAAUAGCUUGCUAUUGGGUCUCUCAAGUGUCGCCUUUGCGAUGCACUGUUGCAUUUACCUCGCGCGCCCCAC
rnacentral:snRNA from 2 species